rnacentral:rRNA from 1 species
GGGGGGGGUAAGCGUUGUUCGGAAUUACUGGGCGUAAAGGGCUCGUAGGCGGCCAACUAAGUCAGACGUGAAAUCCCUCAGCUUAACUGGGGAACUGCGUCUGAUACUGGAUGGCUUGGAUUUGGGAGAGGGAUGCGGAAUUCCAGGUGUAGCGGUGAAAUGCGUAGAUAUCUGGAGGAACACCGGUGGCGAAGGCGGCAUCCUGGACCAAUAUUGACGCUGAGGAGCGAAAGCUAGGGGAGCAAACGGGAUUAGAUACCCCGGUAGUCCUAGCCCUAAACGAUGAAUGCUUGGUGUAGCGGGUAUCGAUCCCUGCUGUGCCGAAGCUAACGCAUUAAGCAUUCCGCCUGGGGAGUACGGUCGCAAGGCUG